rnacentral:tRNA from 1 species
GCCUGGGUGGCUCAGUUGGUUAAGUGUCUGCCUUUGGCUCAGGUCAUGAUCCCAAGGUUGUGGGAUCAAGUCCCACAUUAGGCU